UGCAAGUCGAACGAUGAAGCUGGAGCUUGCUCCGGCCGAUUAGUGGCGAACGGGUGAGUAACACGUGAGCAAUCUGCCCUUGACUCUGGGAUAACUGCGGGAAACUGUAGCUAAUACCGGAUACUUUCCUCGCUGGGCAUCCAGCGGGGAAGAAAGAAUUUCGGUCAAGGAUGAGCUCGCGGCCUAUCAGCUAGUUGGUGAGGUAAAGGCUCACCAAGGCGACGACGGGUAGCCGGCCUGAGAGGGUGACCGGCCACACUGGAACUGAGACACGGUCCAGACUCCUACGGGAGGCAGCAGUGGGGAAUAUUGCACAAUGGGCGAAAGCCUGAUGCAGCAACGCCGCGUGAGGGAUGAAGGCCUUCGGGUUGUAAACCUCUUUUAGCAGGGAAGAAGCGAAAGUGACGGUACCUGCAGAAAAAGCACCGGCUAACUACGUGCCAGCAGCCGCGGUAAUACGUAGGGUGCAAGCGUUGUCCGGAAUUAUUGGGCGUAAAGAGCUCGUAGGCGGUUUGUCACGUCUGCUGUGAAAAUCCGAGGCUCAACCUCGGACUUGCAGUGGGUACGGGCAGGCUAGAGUGCGGUAGGGGAGAAGGGAAUUCCUGGUGUAGCGGUGGAAUGCGCAGAUAUCAGGAGGAACACCAAUGGCAAAGGCACUUCUCUGGGCCGUAACUGACGCUGAGGAGCGAAAGCGUGGGGAGCGAACAGGAUUAGAUACCCUGGUAGUCCACGCCGUAAACGGUGGGUGCUAGCUGUG
rnacentral:rRNA from 1 species